rnacentral:rRNA from 1 species
AGCCUAUGGCAUAUCAAGGUGCCUUCGAAGCUUAAGGUGUUUUUGUGGAGACUAGCUCAACACUCGAUCCCGUCGAUGGACGUUCUGCACCGCCGCAACAUGUCUACCACCACACGCUGCGCCCUGUGUGGUUGUGACGAUUCAUGGAAACAUGCCCUGUUGGAGUGCACUAUGUCUAGAUGCAUAUGGUCUUUCGCCGAUCCCUGUCUGGUGGAGCAUAUGAGCCAGAAUGCGGACAUGAAUGCAAGGAACUGGAUCUUCGCCAUGCAUGAAGUACUUUCGCAGGAGGAGUUUGUGAUCAUGGUGGUUACUCUAUGGGCUGUCUGGAGAUCUAGGCGAAAGGCGAUAUAUGAGGAUAUAUUUGAGAGCCCUCAAUCCACUCAUCAUUUUAUCCAGGCCUAUAUGAAUGAUCUUCGGUCAAUACAGCGAGAUAGAAGCAUAGUACGGCCGAGGGAGGGAGGAGCACGGCCAAGGACAACACAGUGGAUUCACCCACCAGGAACAAUGUGCAAGAUCAAUGUAGACGGUGCUGUUUCUAAGAAUCAGAAGAGAGGAACUGCAGCGGCAAUAUGCAGAGACCACACUGGUAAUUUCCUUGGGGCUUCGGCCAUACUUGUGCGGGGUGUGUACGACCCACCGAUGCUAGAAGCGCUUGCUGUUUGGGAGGCUCUAGCCCUGGCCAAAGAUCUGAACUUGCAGAAUCUACACGUUGCAUCAGACUGUAAAGUGGUGAUUGAGGACAUGAAGGAACAAAACCCAGCUGGUUAUGGUGCAAUUCUACAUGAAAUAACUGACCUUGCGAAUGGUUUCGUAGAGUGUAAUUUUGUUCAUGAGUAUAGGAGCUCGAACUUCGAGUCUCACAAUCUA